rnacentral:rRNA from 1 species
AGACCCGAAACCCGGUGAUCUAGCCAUGGGCAGGUUGAAGGUUGGGUAACACUAACUGGAGGACCGAACCGACUAAUGUUGAAAAAUUAGCGGAUGACCUGUGGCUGGGGGUGAAAGGCCAAUCAAACCGGGAGAUAGCUGGUUCUCCCCGAAAGCUAUUUAGGUAGCGCCUCGUGAAUUCAUCUCCGGGGGUAGAGCACUGUUUCGGCUAGGGGGCCAUCCCGGCUUACCAACCCGAUGCAAACUGCGAAUACCGGAGAAUGUUAUCACGGGAGACACACGGCGGGUGCUAACGUCCGUCGUGAAGAGGGAAACAACCCAGACCGCCAGCUAAGGUCCCAAAGUCAUGGUUAAGUGGGAAACGAUGUGGGAAGGCCCAGACAGCCAGGAUGUUGGCUUAGAAGCAGCCAUCAUUUAAAGAAAGCGUAAUAGCUCACUGGUCGAGUCGGCCUGCGCGGAAGAUGUAACGGGGCUAAACCAUGCACCGAAGCUGCGGCAGCGACACUUAAGUGUUGUUGGGUAGGGGAGCGUUCUGUAAGCCUGUGAAGGUGGCCUGUGAGGGUUGCUGGAGGUAUCAGAAGUGCGAAUGCUGACAUAAGUAACGAUAAAGCGGGUGAAAAGCCCGCUCGCCGGAAGACCAAGGGUUCCUGUCCAACGUUAAUCGGGGCAGGGUGAGUCGACCCCUAAGGCGAGGCCGAAAGGCGUAGUCGAUGGGAAACGGGUUAAUAUUCCCGUACUUGGUGUUACUGCGAAGGGGGGACGGAGAAGGCUAUGUUGGCCGGGCGACGGUUGUCCCGGUUUAAGCGUGUAGGCUGGUUUUCCAGGCAAAUCCGGAAAAUCAAGGCUGAGGCGUGACGACGAGGCACCACGGUGCUGAAGCAACAAAUGCCCUGCUUCCAGGAAAAGCCUCUAAGCAUCAGGUAACACGAAAUCGUACCCCAAACCGACACAGGUGGUCAGGUAGAGAAUACCAAGGCGCUUGAGAGAACUCGGGUGAAGGAACUAGGCAAAAUGGUGCCGUAACUUCGGGAGAAGGCACGCUGACACGUAGGUGAAGUGAUUUACUCAUGGAGCUGAAGUCAGUCGAAGAUACCAGCUGGCUGCAACUGUUUAUUAAAAACACAGCACUGUGCAAACACGAAAGUGGACGUAUACGGUGUGACGCCUGCCCGGUGCCGGAAGGUUAAUUGAUGGGGUUAUCCUCGCGGAGAAGCUCCUGAUCGAAGCCCCGGUAAACGGCGGCCGUAACUAUAACGGUCCUAAGGUAGCGAAAUUCCUUGUCGGGUAAGUUCCGACCUGCACGAAUGGCGUAAUGAUGGCCAGGCUGUCUCCACCCGAGACUCAGUGAAAUUGAACUCGCUGUGAAGAUGCAGUGUACCCGCGGCAAGACGGAAAGACCCCGUGAACCUUUACUAUAGCUUGACACUGAACAUUGAGCCUUGAUGUGUAGGAUAGGUGGGAGGCUUUGAAGCGUGGACGCCAGUCUGCGUGGAGCCAACCUUGAAAUACCACCCUUUAAUGUUUGAUGUUCUAACGUGGACCCGUUACCCGGGUUGCGGACAGUGUCUGGUGGGUAGUUUGACUGGGGCGGUCUCCUCCCAAAGAGUAACGGAGGAGCACGAAGGUUGGCUAAUCCUGGUCGGACAUCAGGAGGUUAGUGCAAUGGCAUAAGCCAGCUUGACUGCGAGCGUGACGGCGCGAGCAGGUGCGAAAGCAGGUCAUAGUGAUCCGGUGGUUCUGAAUGGAAGGGCCAUCGCUCAACGGAUAAAAGGUACUCCGGGGAUAACAGGCUGAUACCGCCCAAGAGUUCAUAUCGACGGCGGUGUUUGGCACCUCGAUGUCGGCUCAUCACAUCCUGGGGCUGAAGUAGGUCCCAAGGGUAUGGCUGUUCGCCAUUUAAAGUGGUACGCGAGCUGGGUUUAGAACGUCGUGAGACAGUUCGGUCCCUAUCUGCCGUGGGCGCUGGAGAACUGAGGGGGGCUGCUCCUAGUACGAGAGGACCGGAGUGGACGCAUCACUGGUGUUCGGGUUGUCAUGCCAAUGGCACUGCCCGGUAGCUAAAUGCGGAAGAGAUAAGUGCUGAAAGCAUCUAAGCACGAAACUUGCCCCGAGAUGAGUUCUCCCUGAGACCUUGAGUCUCCUGAAGGAACGUUGAAGACGACGACGUUGAUAGGCCGGGUGUGUAAGCGCAGCGAUGCGUUGAGCUAACCGGUACUAAUGAACCGUGAGGCUUAACCUUACAACGCCGAAGCUGUU